rnacentral:rRNA from 1 species
GACGAACGCUGGCGGCGCGCCUAACACAUGCAAGUCGAACGAGCGAGCGGAGGUUUCCUUUCUCACUCGAGUGGCGAACGGGUGAGUAACGCGCGAGGAACCUGCCCCAAAGUGGGGGACAACAGUUGGAAACGACUGCUAAUACCGCAUAAGCCCUCCUCCCGCCCUCGGGUAGAGGGAAAAGGUGCAUUUCGGUUUGAGAUCGCCGCGCGUCAGAUUUUCUUGUGGGGGUGGUAACGGACCACCAAGGCGACGAACGGUAGCCGGACUGAGCGGUUGAACGGCCACGAUGGAACUACGGCACGGCCCAGACUCCUACGGGACGGAGCAGUGGGGAAUAUUACACAAUGAAGGAAAACCUGAUAAAGCGGCGCCGCGUAUAGGAAGAAUGUCUUUGUAUUGUAAACUCCUGUUGUAGAGGAAGAUAAUGACGGUACUGAGCAAGGAAGUGACGGCUAACUACGUG